AACGAACGCUGGCGGCAUGCCUAACACAUGCCAGUCGAACGAGACCUUCGGGUCAAGUGGCGCACGGGUGCGUAACGCGUGGGAACCUGCCCUUAGGUUCGGAAUAACUCCCCGAAAGGGGUGCUAAUACCGGAUAAUGUCUUCGGACCAAAGAUUUAUCGCCUUUGGAUGGGCCCGCGUUGGAUUAGCUAGUUGGUAGGGUAAAAGCCUACCAAGGCGACGAUCCAUAGCUGGUCUGAGAGGAUGAUCAGCCACACUGGGACUGAGACACGGCCCAGACUCCUACGGGAGGCAGCAGUGGGGAAUAUUGGACAAUGGGCGAAAGCCUGAUCCAGCAAUGCCGCGUGAGUGAUGAAGGCCUUAGGGUUGUAAAGCUCUUUUACCCGGGAUGAUAAUGACAGUACCGGGAGAAUAAGCUCCGGCUAACUCCGUG
rnacentral:rRNA from 1 species